rnacentral:rRNA from 1 species
CCUACGGGUGGCAGCAGUGGGGAAUAUUGCACAAUGGGCGCAAGCCUGAUGCAGCCAUGCCGCGUGUGUGAAGAAGGCCUUCGGGUUGUAAAGCACUUUCAGCGGGGAGGAAGGCGGUGAGGUUAAUAACCUCAUCGAUUGACGUUACCCGCAGAAGAAGCACCGGCUAACUCCGUGCCAGCAGCCGCGGUAAUACGGAGGGUGCAAGCGUUAAUCGGAAUUACUGGGCGUAAAGCGCACGCAGGCGGUCUGUCAAGUCGGAUGUGAAAUCCCCGGGCUCAACCUGGGAACUGCAUUCGAAACUGGCAGGCUAGAGUCUUGUAGAGGGGGGUAGAAUUCCAGGUGUAGCGGUGAAAUGCGUAGAGAUCUGGAGGAAUACCGGUGGCGAAGGCGGCCCCCUGGACAAAGACUGACGCUCAGGUGCGAAAGCGUGGGGAGCAAACAGGAUUAGAUACCCCGGUAGUA